GUCACGAGUUUGAUCAUGGCUCAGAACGAACGCUGGCGGCAUGCCUAACACAUGCAAGUCGAACGAACCCUUCGGGGUUAGUGGCGCACGGGUGCGUAACGCGUGGGAAUCUGCCCAAAGGUUCGGAAUAACACAGAGAAAUUUGUGCUAAUACCGGAUAAUGUCUUCGGACCAAAGAUUUAUUGCCUUUGGAUGAGCCCGCGUUGGAUUAGCUUGUUGGUGAGGUAACGGCUCACCAAGGCGACGAUCUAUAGCUGGUCUGAGAGGAUGAUCAGCCACACUGGGACUGAGACACGGCCCAGACUCCUACGGGAGGCAGCAGUGGGGAAUAUUGGACAAUGGGCGAAAGCCUGAUCCAGCAAUGCCGCGUGAGUGAUGAAGGCCUUAGGGUUGUAAAGCUCUUUUACCAGGGAUGAUAAUGACAGUACCUGGAGAAUAAGCUCCGGCUAACUCCGUG
rnacentral:rRNA from 1 species